rnacentral:rRNA from 1 species
AUGGACCAAAAACGCUAUGAGAACAUACCACAACAGACUGAUGGGACUUCCUGUGCGGUUUGGACACUGCAGUACAUGUUGUCAUGGAAUGGGGAUGAAAUGACCGAUAUUUUGAACCAGAAGGAGGUGUACGAUGCCCAGCAGAAGGAGGUGUACGAUGCCCAGCAAGCAGUUCUACCUGAUGCUUCAGAAGAGGACGUACAAUUAGUCAACAAUCCUGAUGGUUCCAACGAACCUGACACAUCCAACUCCUAG